rnacentral:rRNA from 1 species
GUCGAACGGCAGCACGGGUGCUUGCACCUGGUGGCGAGUGGCGAACGGGUGAGUAAUAUAUCGGAACGUACCCGGAAAUGGGGGAUAACGUAGCGAAAGUUACGCUAAUACCGCAUAUGCCCUGAGGGGGAAAGCGGGGGAUUCGCAAGAACCUCGCGUUUUCGGAGCGGCCGAUAUCGGAUUAGCUAGUAGGUGAGGUAAAGGCUCACCUAGGCGACGAUCCGUAGCUGGUCUGAGAGGACGACCAGCCACACUGGAACUGAGACACGGUCCAGACUCCUACGGGAGGCAGCAGUGGGGAAUUUUGGACAAUGGGCGCAAGCCUGAUCCAGCCAUGCCGCGUGAGUGAAGAAGGCCUUCGGGUUGUAAAGCUCUUUCAGCCGGAAAGAAAACGGACAGGAUAAUACCCUGUGUGGAUGACGGUACCGGAAGAAGAAGCACCGGCUAACUACGUGCCAGCAGCCGCGGUAAUACGUAGGGUGCGAGCGUUAAUCGGAAUUACUGGGCGUAAAGCGUGCGCAGGCGGUUUUGUAAGACAGACGUGAAAUCCCCGGGCUUAACCUGGGAACUGCGUUUGUGACUGCAAGGCUAGAGUACGGCAGAGGGGGGUAGAAUUCCACGUGUAGCAGUGAAAUGCGUAGAUAUGUGGAGGAAUACCGAUGGCGAAGGCAGCCCCCUGGGUCGAUACUGACGCUCAUGCACGAAAGCGUGGGGAGCAAACAGGAUUAGAUACCCUGGUAGUCCACGCCCUAAACGAUGUCAACUAGGUGUUGGGGGAGGAGACUUCCUUAGUACCGUAGCUAACGCGUGAAGUUGACCGCCUGGGGAGUA